GCGGGUAUCGUACAGUGGUAGUACGCGACCUUCCCAAGGUUGAGACAGGGGUUCGAUUCCCCUUACCCGCU
rnacentral:tRNA from 1 species